rnacentral:rRNA from 1 species
AGCAGUAGCCACGGGAAUACGAAGGGUGCAAGCGUUAAUCGGAAUUACUGGGCGUAAAGCGCGCGUAGGUGGUUCAUUAAGUUGGAUGUGAAAGCCCUGGGCUCAACCUGGGAACUGCAUCCAAAACUGGUGAGCCAGAGUACGGUAGAGGGUAGUGGAAUUUCCUGUGUAGCGGUGAAAUGCGUAGAGAUCUGGAGGAAUACCGAUGGCGAAGGCAGCCAUCUGGCCUAAUACUGACGCUGAGGUACGAAAGCAUGGGGAGCAAACAGGAUUAGAUACCCCGGUAGUCCCUGUCUCUUAUAA